ensembl:lncRNA
UGGAGCCGGGGCUCUGUUUCGCCUGGGCCAUUGAUUAGAUGAGUGUUCAGAGUGAAGAACAGCGUGCGUGUCCCGCAAUGCAGCAUCCCUCCUUGCCUGCCAAUUAACCCAUGCUUGUUUUAUUGCAGAGAGGAAGCCAGGGAACCAGACUCCUGGAGUACCUUGUCUCACACCGUGCACUCGGGGGACUACAGUGUGAAGCACCACCGUGGGCUUGAUGUUUACAUGCUGACAGCUGAAGCCAAGGAAGGGGUAGCAGCCAGCUUGGAGAGUGACAUACGGCACCUUCAGAUGCACAUGCAGAGCCACCAGCACAUGAGUUUAAGACAGCAGACCAAGCCUGUACUGGAAGAUUCGGGAGACAGCUGUUCUAAAGGAGCAGAGCCAGAUGGUCACCUGACCACUACCUCUCAGAGCCUAGAAGAAGUGGCAAGAGAAGGAAGGCAGGAGUGUCCAUCUGAUCUUGUUCACCUGGACAUCAGGCAGCUCUCAGACCAAACCCACCAGGAGGAGAAAUGCAACAGCAGGAGUUUGGGAGCUUUUAAUGAUGCGCCAAAUGACUUGCUGAGCCUGGGGGAUGCAAAGAGCUCAGAGUGCUUCUGUGAAAGUAAAAAUAAAGUGACGUUGAGUAAAAAGGAAGAGGAGGGGCCAACCUCUGCUGAAGGCUCUGGGACUAUAUCAGAUGAGAACGACUGCACGGUGAGCCUGUGUGCAAGUGUAAACACUGCGGUAAAUCUUCCAUCCUGUGGAAAUACAAAUGAGGAAGCUGGAAUGACAUCUGCUGGAGUUGUUCUGGAUCAAGCUGGCUUGUGCAGUAAAGAUAGUCCCCAUCAGGAAGUUCAAGCUGCUGAGGAGCGUGCAGCUGGCAGUACUGUUACUGUGGUUGAAACUACAGGCGAAGCCCCAGCUUCCUUGGAGGGCGUGGAUGUGGCUAUGGGCCAAACUGAAUGCAGGAACUGUACAGGGGCAGCUGAGAGGGCUGCGGGCCAGCAGCAAGGAGAGGAUGGGAUGGCUGAGGCUGGUGAAAGGAGGACUACAAACACAGAAGAGCAAUUGCCAGCUAAGAAAGAGUCAGCCAGUGCCUCUCAGCCCUUACUCGGUGGUUUUAAUGGCACUGAGAGUGCAGACGGGGAGGAUGCAAAUGUGGGAGUGGUGUCGGCGUGUGACAGUACAAAUGCAGAUGAUGGCACUGGCAUUGUCUCCAUUGACCUUUGCAAGACCAGCAAUAACAAAGAGACUGGAGCAGAUUCAUGCACUGAUGAGGUAAACAGUGGCUUCUUGGAAAGCCAAGGUGAUGCCCAUGCUGCGGCGAGGCAGGAUGUCACUGCAAGUGCUGGGGCAGUGUUGCCAGCGGUGAAUAGGGUGAAGUUUCCCACAUGUGCAUCAAAACCUGAUCCUGGUUUGGAAAUCCAUGGCAGUGGGGAGCAAGAAGGGCAGAUGGAAGCAGGUUGCACAGUUGGGAAAUCCAGCUUGCCCUCCCUGAAAGACAGUAUGGAAACUGAUGGCCCUGACGCUAAACCUGAAAACAGUGAUGUUGGUGGAUCUAAUCAAAGUGGUGCAGAACCUGCACGUUGCCAGGAGAGCGGUAAGAUCACUGAACGUGCAGCUGAAGCAAUGGAGGGCAGCGAAGCCUGUGAAGAGGAGCCAGCAGGAGCUGAUACCAGCAGCAGUGGAGAUGGAGGAAGUGCAUAUUCUGCAGAUGCAGGUCAGGAAGUUGCUAGCUGUCACCCUUCUGCUGAUCAAACUGUUGUUGAAGAUGAAAUGGGCAACAGCUUCAAACCGGACACUGCUCAAGAGAGCAAAUACGAGCCUGCAUCGCUCCCUCUGGAGGAUGCCAGCGCAUGCCUGGCAGAAAAAGAGCCUGCACAAACUGAAGCAGAGAUAGCAGAAAGUGCUUCGGAGCAGGAGGGGCUGAGCAGCAAGAUGCAAUCACUCAUUUCCCUACCCAGAGGAGAAGGAUGGGCUGUGAGUCAGGAGGGAGAUGCUGCAGUGGCACCUCCCGGGCGGGAGGCAGCUCUGCAAGUUAACAACCCUGGGUUAGCUCCGUGUGCCAAGGGCACAGACUGUGUGGAGGAUAAUUUAAUAGACACGCCCUCUGUAAUUCAUAAUGAAGAAUCUAAACAAAACCAGGAAGCAGUGACGGUGGUGGCAGGCUCAGCAGAGCUUGCCCAGCAGCGUGGCGGGGAGCAUGGCAAGGUAGCUGCCGGAGCCAGCUGGCCUGAGGACCAUGCAGGGGAUGAGGGCUCUCUGGAGCAGAGCCUCUUGCAGGAGGCUGAAGGAGGCAAAGCUGAGCCUGAGCAGGAGGCUCGUGCAAGUGGCAGGGAGCAGGUCUUGUCGGAGGAACUUCUUGCUGUUGUUGUGAAACCCUCUGCCUGCUGUCAGGAGGGGCCUGUGGCGGGUGGCAGCGAUGUGGAUGCUGAGAUGAAAGGGACAGCCCGUACCAAGGAAGCGUGCAAGACCAGGGCAGUGGGUGCAGGAGAAAGCACCAUCCAUGAGCCUGCAUCGGCAGGCAAGUCACCAGGUGUGGAGAGUGACCCUUGUCCGGAUGCGGCCCUGAACCAAGAACAUUAUCCCAGUCAAACCCUACAACAAAUCUCCCCGCGCAGCAGUACCCCCGAAUUAAAGGAUGCUUCAGAAAUGAGAGCCCCGAGUGAUGCCUGUGAGGGUAAGGAAGUGUUAAGGCCAGUGACAAUAACCCCUGCCACAGCCUAUCCGGAAAAGCAGGAGGAUACGGAAAGCAUGCUGCCCCGGGCAGCGCUUCAGCCCAUCGCAGAAGAGCCCACGUGCGACAGCGACUCCAGCACCGACACCGUUUGUCCAGCUGGCGAGAGCGAUGCUGGUCGCACUGCAAAACCAGCUCAGGGGGAGGUCUUGGCUGAGCCCGAUGGGAAGCAAAGCCAACCUGUACCUGAAUCGCACUUGCCAUGUUUGUGCUAUUUGCAUGCUGUUGAGUCACUGGAAAAUGUGGGAGUAAAGAGUUUGGUUUCGUCAGGUGAUGGCUACUCGCUGGAUAAAGUUCCUAAAAUGGUAAAAAGUUUUGAUGCCGUGGUUUUUGCAGCGGAGACACCUUGUUCCCCUGAAUUACCAGCCACAGAAAAAGUGGGGCUUGAGACCCAGGCUGCAGUGGAUGUGGGAGCCAGCCUUAAUGGAGAAAUGGAUUUAAGUUUCUCAACGAAGAAGAGGAACGUCAGCCCAGCAGUGCAACAAGCUGAGCCUGUUACAGGUAGGAAGAAUCAGUUGGUUUCCUACUUUUUAGUUUUUACUUUGUAGGUGUGCCUCUAGCAUCUCAUCAGGAAAGGAAGGGAAAUAAGAGCAGGAGGCCUGCCUUGCGGAGGAAGUGUAGGUGGGGGUUUUCUUCGAAGAAAGAAAUCUGAAGUUACA